CAGUGUUCAAAUAAAAUGUAUGCCACUGGAGUUAAUGCAAGUUUUUGGAUGUUUUGUAUACCUUCAAAAAGGCCAAGAGAACAGAUCAAGAAAAUCUUUUGACCUUCUUUAAAAAGAAGAGAACUGAAGGAGCUGAGUGCUUCCUGAAGCAGGCUGGUUUCUUACUGCACCACGGGGCUUUACUUCACCACAGUCUGGCUUCAGACCCUUGCACAGCACCGAAUCUGCAUUGCUGAAGGGUCAACAAAGAUUACGUGAGUGGCUGUGUUUGUAUUGUGGAGCUGGCGGGCAUGUGAUCGAUGAAUGUCCUGUUCGCCCCUUACAAAUUACGGUGAGUCAGACUAUUACCAAACCUAUGAUUCAUGCUCCAUUGACUACUAUGGUCUCAGUGAUUUGCCCACAUGUCUCUCUCUCAGUCAAGGCCCUCACUGACUCUGGGCCGGCAGGCAGCUUCAUCUCUGAACAACUCUGCCGCCGGCUCAAACUCCCAAUAAUCAAAUGCUCCUCCCCGAUCCUCGUCCAGUCAAUAAUUGGAAAACCUCUGGGAAAGGGACUUAUCACUCAUCCAACCCCACCUGUGACGAUUUGAGUGGGUUGUACCCACUUUGAGGAUAUCUCCUUUCUGAUUCUGGAGGGCUCCACUGCCGAUAUCAUCCUGGGCGUCCAUGGUUACAACAACACUCCCCACAGCUUUCUUGGACUACCGGAGAGGUUUUGGCGUGGGGUGGAGAGUGUUUCCAUGGAUGCUUACGACUUCCCCAUCCUAUUGGUCCCUACACUCAUGUGCCUGUGUGUGCCACCUCUAUAGAGAGUCCUGCAAGUGAGCUUCAGAUAGACGUGCCCCAGGAAUAUCGUGCAUACCAAGAUGUCUUCAGUCCACAACGAGCAGCCACCUUACCAUCUCAUCUACCAUGGGACUGUGCCAUUGACCCGAUGCCAGGAGCACCAUUGCCCAGGGGAUGGAUCUAUCCACUCUCACUUCCGGAACAGAAGGCCAUGGUGGAGUAUGUCGAUGAGCCGCUCAAACAAGGUUACAUCCGCCCUUCCACUUCCCCUGCUGCUUCCAGCUUCUUCUUCAUGGCCAAAAAUGACAGAGGCUUACAGCCAUGCAUUGACUACCAUGCCCUCAACCCAGUCACCGUGAAGUUCCGGUACCCCAUUCCCCUGGUCCCAGCAGCGCUAGAACUCCUGAGAGGAGCCACCGUGUUCUCUAAGCUCGAACUAUGUAGUGCCUAAAACCUCAUUCAUAUCUGGAGGGGGAUGAGUGGAAGACGGCCUUCAUGAACCCAACUGGCCACUAUGAAUACCGGGUCAUGCCAUAAGGCCAUAAGGCCUUGGUAUUCCAGAGCUUUAUGAAUGAGAUGUUCCAGGAGUAUCUCCACCAAUUCAUCAUUGUUUACAUCAACGACAUCCUCAUCUACUCCUGGAAUGAGACCGACCAACUACGAUCAACAUGUAGUGUCCAUACUGGAAAAGCUUAGAGAACACCAACUGUAUCUGAAAUUGGAAAAGUGCAAAUUUCAUCAACCAUCAAUUCAGUUCCUCGUAUACAUCAUUAGUCCCAGAGGAGUGGAAAUGGACCAGGGAAGGUUAGUGAAAUUCACUCCUGGCACAAACCCACCACAAUAAAGUAGCUACAGAGAUUCCUAGGUUUUGAAAACUUUUACCGACGCUUCAUACGUAAUUACAGUUUCAUGUCUGCACCCUUAACAUCUCUUCUCAAAUCCAAGCCCAGGUCCCUGUCCUGGAACCAACCCACCUCGGAGGCUUUUCAAAACCUUAAGGAAGCUUUCUUGGCAGCUCCCAUCUUAGAUCAUCCCGACCCGGAUAGACCAUUCAUCAUGGAAGUUGACACCUCCACCUAAGGCUUUGGAGCUGUAAUAUCCCAGCGGCAGGGGGAUCCUCCCAAACUUCACCCAUGUGCCUUCUCGCGAAAGCUAACCCCGGCGGAGCAGAACUACGACAUUGGCAACUGGGAGCUGCCCACCAUCAAGCUGGCACUGGAGGAGUGGCGACCACUGGCUGGAAGGAUCUCGUCAUCCUUUUUUAGUCAUCACAGAUCAUUGCAACCUCGAGUACCUGAGAGAUGCAAAACAAUUGAACCCCCACCAGGCCCGGUGGGCCCUGUUCUUCACACGGUUUAACUUCUCUGUCUCUUAUCAUCCAGGGUCCAAAAACACCAAGGCGGAUGCUUUAUCCUGACUACACGCUGUGGAACCUUCCAUGGGAACACCUGAAUCCGUUCUACCUCCAGGAUUAAUCAUCAGUCGUAUCUAGUGGGCCCUGGACGACCAAAUUGAAGAGGCCACCUGUGAAGAACCAGCUCCGCUGGGAUGCCCCGAGGGAUGCAAAUACAUGCCCUCAUGCCUUCGGACCUCCCUCAUCACUUCCAUACACUCCUCCCUGGGCUCUGGUCAUCCUGGCUACCAUCAAACCCUCACGCUUCUCCAAAAUCGAUACUGGUGGCCCCGUAUAUGUCCCAGAAAGUACAGCGAUACAUCCAAGGCUGCCCAGAAUGUGUCUCGAAAUCUCCACGCCAUCUUCCAUCCGGUAAGCUCCUUCCUCUGCCUGUUCCUCAGCGCCCCUGGUCACACCUGGGGGUGGAUUUUAUAAUUGAUUCACCAGCAUCAGAUCCUUUCACCUGUGUCCUAGUCAUUGUUGAUAGAUUCUCCAAGGCAUGUCAUCUAGUUCCCGUGAAGGGCCUCCCCAUGGCUCUGGAAACUGCAGAAGCUUUAUUCCAUCACGUCUUCCUGAACUACGACAUCCCAGAAGACAUUGUGUCUGACUGCGGUCCCCAAUUCAUCUUGCGGGUAUGGAGGUCCUUAUUUUCCCUCCUGGGUGUGUCAGUAAGUUUAACCUCUGGAUAUCAUCUGCAGUCUAACAGGCAGACAGUGCAUAAGAUCCAAGAGAUUGGCCACUUCCUGCGGAUCUACUGCCACAACCACCAGGACAGCUGGAACUGGUUCCUACCCUGGGCCGAGUACUCCCAGAACUCCCUUUGUCAACCAGCCACCAGACUCACCCCGUUCCAGUGCGUACUCGGCUUCCAACCUCCCCUGUUUCCAUGGUCAGGAGACCCUUCUGAUGUUCCAGCUGUGAGCCACUGAUUCGAGGAUAGUGAGAGAUCUGGGACUCAGCUCAUGAUCAUCUCCAAUGGGCAGUCCGGUGCCAGAAGAGCCAGUCCGAUGCAAGGAGAUCUGAGAUGCCUACCUACCAUCCUGGGCAUAAGGUCUGGCUCUCUACCCGGGACAUCAGGCUCUGGCUGCCCUGUCGAAAGCUAAGUCCCAGAUACAUUGGUCCUUUCACUAUACUCCACCAAGUAAAUGCAGUCACAUACAGAUUACCACUGCCCCUUCACUACAGAAUUAACCCCACCUUCCACGUCACUCUGCUCAAAUCUCAUUAUCCUUCUCUGUCUCCUUCCCCAGAGCCCGAUGCGUCUGAGGAACCCCCUCAGUCACUUCUCCUGGAGGAUGGUUCGGUUUACGAGGUUCGAGUCAUCCUAGACCCCGAUAUCGGAGAGGAAAUCUCGAGUACCUGGUGGACUGGGAAGGGUAUGGUCCUGAGGAGAGGUCCUGGGUUACCUGAGAUGACAUCCUUGAUCCGACCUUGCUUACCACCUUUCACAUGUAGAAUCUCACUCGCCCAGCUCUGCAUGGACGAGGACGGCCCCGACGUCAGAGGCUCCGGCCCACAGGAGCGGACCCUGUAAAGGGGGGGGGUACUGUGUUGGAUCCACCUGGCUCUCUCUCUCCCUCUCCCUCACUGCCGGCACUGUGCUCUCUCUCCCCUGAGUUUUAAUUACCUGCACCUGCACGUCAUCAGAACGCCAGUCAUGGACUGCAUUUAAACCCCACUUACAUUCUAAUUCACUGUCUGUUCUCGUCAAUGUUCUCACAAAGACUACGGACUCCCUAGCCCUUCUAUACUUACCUGUUGAAAUAAUUACCUUGUCGUUUGUUUCCUGUUCCCGAUAUUACUGCGUGUUUCUUACUCUGUAUAUUCCUCCAGUGACAUAUUCUGUUCCUCUGUGUUGCAACAUUUCCUACAAAGACCAAAAUAAUGUUGUGAGUGUUCUGAUCAUCUGUUCAUUGUCACAAUACAUUGUUUGAAGUUUACUCACCUGCUGUUCGUGCCAUACCAGUGUUUGGAUAACCUCACCUGUUUGUUUCACCUCUCACCCAUUCCCUUCAUCAGUAAAACCCACGAUUGAGUCCAACCCUCUGCCUCUGAGUUUUCUCACCGUGACAUCGCUAAAGUAAAACAUUUUCUUUCCCAUAAAGACCUGGAAAUUGUGACCUACUCACUAAUUUCAUCGAGGUUAUACUGUUGUAACUCAUUGUACAUUGGUUUUCCUCCAACUGCAUUAUCCCACCUACAGCUGGUUCAAAAUGUGGCAGCUAGGCUUUUAACAGGGUCAAGAAAGAGGGAUCACAUUUCCUCUGUUUUAGCAACUCUACACUGGCUUCCCGUGAAAUUCAGGGUCGAUUUUAAUAUUCUGCUGCAUGUACAAGGCACUAACUGGUCUCACGCCCCAAUAUGUCAGUGACCUUCUCCUCCCGUACUCCCCCCACCAGAGCACUCAGGUCUUCUGAUCAGCUUCUUUUGAGGGUUCCUCAUUGUUGCUAUAGAUCUAAGGGUGAUCGUGCCUUUUUUGUGGUAGGUCCUAAUCUCUGGAACAGUCUCUCUUUCCAUGUGAGGUCAACUUCUUCAUUAGCUAUUUUUGAAAAUGUAUUUUUAUUCUGUAGCUUUUGAAUAGGUCCUUGAAUAGGUUGAACUGGUUAAAUACAUUAUGCUAUAUUUAAAGGUAUUUAUUUUAUUUUUAUUAUUUUUUAUGUUUAUGUGUAUGUAUGUGUAUGUAUGUAUGUAUGUAUGUAUGUGUAAUAUAUAUAUAAUCACUCUAUCUUUGUAUAUUUAUUUGUUUGAUCUGUAAAUCACUUUGGGUCAACUUCUGUUGUUUUUAAAUGUGCUCUAUAAAUAAAGGUUGACUUGACUUGGUACCACACACAUACUGGCGAAUUAAACAGAUUAAAACCCUCUCAGGCAAGCAAUCCUGUGGACAUUGUCAUGUCUGGGGAAAUUUUAACAUUUUCAAAACACACACAUUAUGUUAAACCCAGCAAUAUUAACGCAGCAUGGUGAGAUUUAGUAAUUGUUCCCACACAUUUCA